UGGCCUGUGAUGAUAGCAAUUGUCAAAACACCAUCUUUCGGGACUGAAUGGCUUUGAAGCCUUGCUGUUAUUCUGCAAUACUGAGGCCU